UUUCUGCUCAGGCAUACCAGGGCUCCCAGUCAUGCUAGGGGUACGGUUGACAUUUUCCGGGGGUCCUACACCGCCUCUUUGGUGAGAGGAUCUAAGGACGAGCAUCCGGCCUUCUCCUUGAGACUCAGAACCACAUCUCCUUCAUGAGCCUCCCCACGACUCAGCUCGGAACGACAGCUGACUGGCUGGGAUGCGGCUGGAAUGGCGGCUUGCUUGGUUUCCCAGGUCCUGGGGACUAUGUACGGGGACAGGAGGAGAAGGGAGAGUAAGAGAUAUGCCUUUGUUCUUGCUGCUGCCUCCCUGCCCAACCUCAUGCUGGCUGGGAACGUGAUGUGCUAAUCUGGGUAUUUUUUUCCUUUAUGACAAUCCAAUCCCAUCGUCCCCAAUUCCCAAAUGGUUGGUACAGAGAGGGCCAGGCCAAGCCUCGAAUGUGACGGCAGGAAGCAAAAGUAGCGUCCCAGAUUCAGGGCAUUGAAGGGAUCAGUUACGAGGCCGUGAGACAACAGAACCCCCGGGGCAAGUCUUUGCUGCAAACAGGGGCUGGGCUCUGCGGGUGGCUUUGCGCCAGGCACUUCACAUCCAUUAGCUUCCCCCCACUUUAUAGAUUAGGUAACCGAACCUCAGAGCGGUUAAAUCACGUCCCCAGGUCCCAUAGCUCAUGAGUGGAGCCAGGAUUCAGACUUGGGUCUGCAGAUCUCUUUGACUUCCAUGCCCCGGCUCUCUCCACGAAACCCUACCCCUCCCACCGGGGAGAAAAAUGUGUGUGCUCCUGGGAACAGGUACGUGGCUCUGACACAUUGCCUCCCGGGGCAGCCUGGCCGCCUCCCUCUGCCGCCCCUCUGUGCCACAGGUCUUAUUACGGUUCGUGAGCUUGCCAAUCAGAUAUUCGCAAUAAUCUCUGAGGUGACAGAAGUGGCACCGGUCCACGGACAUCUGGAAGGGCUCAGGACGGCCGUGACCACUGGUCCGGGCUCCAAGCCCCGCCUGUAUCCGCUGUAGACGGCAGCUGGCCUGAAUCUGAUACCUGAGCAGGGAAGGGCGUGAGCAAAAUGGCAACCAGGCCCGGGAGGUUUCCCCGGAGAUACGGCCGUGAGUUAUGUCCCUUCGGUAGGGCCGAUCUGUGCAGCAGCCCUUGGGGAGUAGAUAAGCCAGCCUGACAAGUGACCUUGACAGAAUUACAGCAGUCGUAUUUUCAGUUGCUUGAGCCAGUCGUGGCCAAUUUCUCUAGAGCGUUAGGUGCAAACAGAAGUCCUCGACGCCACGUUGCACGCGCGCGCGCGCGCGUCUGCCUCUUCCCCUUCGCUGUUUAAAGUAUUUACCCUUGGCUUGUACAAGCGACAUCUUUCUCUUCCCUGGUGAGCACGAGCGUCUCCGGUCUUCCCUCCUCCCUCCGCUGGGCGGGCAGCGAAGCAACGCGGACAAGGAUCUUGUUCCAAGCCCAUUGAGCAGUGCUAGCGUGUAGUGACCUUCUGCACCAGUAAUUCCGUCUUUCGGGGAUUGAAAUUGAUUUUCCUCCUCUCUGUGUGUGAGCACAACCCGAGGGUACAGCUCCGUUCCGAAAGCUGAUCUCAGCAAUCAUUUUAUGCUAGUGGCUCAAGUUGGCGAGAGAUUAUUUGACACUAUAGUUCGGCCUCCUCUUCCUGAUGUUGCAGUAGCCAUUCUAUGAAGCCUAAGAAGCGUCCCUGAUGUGCUUCUCUCAUCUGACGUCAAUCCAGCCAAUCAUGACAGCUCGCUGCUUCUGUCCUCUGCAAAGUUCCCACACCCGUGCGUUUCUUUCACCCCCCCCCCCCACGAUCCUGUUCUGCUUCCUCAUCCAUCACCUGGAUGAGUUUUGUUGUAAAAUAAAAGUCUAAUCUGUCUCCCUGUCGCCAACCUUGACCACUCUGAUCUGUCCUUCAGUGGUAGCCACGUGGUCUAAGUGACAAA